rnacentral:rRNA from 1 species
AUUGAACGCUGGCGGCAGGCCUAACACAUGCAAGUCGAGCGGAUGAAGGGAGCUUGCUCCUGGAUUCAGCGGCGGACGGGUGAGUAAUGCCUAGGAAUCUGCCUGGUAGUGGGGGAUAACGUCCGGAAACGGGCGCUAAUACCGCAUACGUCCUGAUGGAGAAAGUGGGGGAUCUUCGGACCUCACGCUAUCAGAUGAGCCUAGGUCGGAUUAGCUAGUUGGUGGGGUAAAGGCCUACCAAGGCGACGAUCCGUAACUGGUCUGAGAGGAUGAUCAGUCACACUGGAACUGAGACACGGUCCAGACUCCUACGGGAGGCAGAAGUGGGGAAUAUUGGACAAUGGGGGAAAGCCUGAUCCAGCCAUGCCGGGUGUGUGAAGAAGGUCUUCGGAUUGUAAAGCACUUUAAGUUGGGAGGAAGGGCAGUAAGUUAAUACCUUGCUGUUUUGACGUUACCAACAGAAUAAGCACCGGCUAACUUCGU